AACAACCACAACAGCGGCUCCAACAACCACAACAGCAGCUCCAACAACCACAACAGCAGCUCCAACAACCACAACAGCAGUUCCAACAACCACAACUCCAGCUACAACAACCACCACGACAAUCAUCCUCCUGACUUCUCAACCUUGGCAUAUUUACAAGUCAGGAUGAUUUCCUAUGGUGAACUCAGCAAUAAAACCAUUUCGGGACUUCUUCAAGAGUUUUUCAGAAAACAGCUUCCAAAUGGAACAGCUCAUCUGCUCUCAUUGAAAAGAAUCCAAAGUGCAUUUUAAUGAUAUUUUGGGCGUUAUUGUUUAUCUAAAUUCACUUUACACUUUACUAAAUCCACAAACAUUGCUUACACAUUUACAUCAAAUAGGCAUGCAUGGAAACACACAACUUGAUCUAUAACUAUUGAAAUAUUUAGAAUUUAAUGUAAAUUCAACCAUUUAUCAAAUAGUCAAAUAGACAAAUCAAUGGUCUUGUACAAUCUUAAUUUUCUAAUAUUGUCACAGUAUAUUGUAAAUGAUUGUGAAUGUUUUUAAAUCAAUGGAACUGAAUUUAUCGUCUACUAUAAAGCCUUGCUAUGGGUGAACAUUGGUUCCA